rnacentral:rRNA from 1 species
CCUACGGGAGGCAGCAGUGGGGAAUAUUGGACAAUGGGCGCAAGCCUGAUCCAGCCAUGCCGCGUGGUGUGAAGAAGGCCUUCGGGUUGUAAAGCCCUUUUAGUGUGGAGGAAGGGAAGUAGGUUAAUACCUUGUCGGUUUGACGUUACCCACAGAAGAAGCACCGGC